UGCAACGUUGAAAAAGUGCUUGCCAUAAGA
rnacentral:piRNA from 1 species